rnacentral:rRNA from 1 species
UACGAAGGGGGCUAGCGUUGCUCGGAAUCACUGGGCGUAAAGCGCACGUAGGCGGAUUGCUAAGUCAGGGGUGAAAUCCUGGAGCUCAACUCCAGAACUGCCUUUGAUACUGGCGACCUUGAGUCCGGGAGAGGUGAGUGGAACUGCGAGUGUAGAGGUGAAAUUCGUAGAUAUUCGCAAGAACACCAGUGGCGAAGGCGGGUCUCUGGGCCGAUACUGACGCUGAGGAGCGAAAGCGUGGGGAGCGAACAGG